CCCGCCUCUCGUGGGGACCCGGCGUGAGGGCAAGAGGCGGGACCUCCGAGGCGAGGGAGGUGCGGAAGGAAAUACAGAGGACACCAUGAACAUGUACUCAGCAAAAUCCAUAUUGUGGGGAACUCUACAGUCAAGGUCAAACUCUACAGGUCAAUGUAUUCUUCAACAGAUUCAUUGAAGAUGAGGAAGUGGAAAUCUCAUGGAAUCAGACCAUUUUUGCCAGCCUUCUCUCCUGACCCUUUCACCUUGCACCAGUCCCGUACUGAGCAGUGCACCUUCUUGGGAACAGCUUGGCCAGAUUACACAGGUGUACACAGAAUAUGACUCAGCCAAACGGUGAGUUUAUGCAUUGGUAAAAGACAGUGGAGGUAAAUAUGGUGAUCUCAAAGCUGAUUAGGUGCUAUUUAUUUUCGUCUUACAUUUACUUAAUCUUAACAGUGUUUUGAAAGAUGAGAAUGCUUUUGAAAGUUUUAGUAGAGAUCCAAGCUAGAUUCAAGAGGAGUGUGUUUGGCUAAUUAUAAAUAGUUUCUUUCCAUAUUUAUGUUGUUUUGGUGGUUUGAAAAAAGA